GCAGGCGAAGGACUGCCAGCAGGAUGAGCUGGAUAGCCUUAACAAGAUGCGCCAAGUGGUCCUGGAGUCUUUGUCCAACACAGUUCAGGAGAAGAAGAAAACAAUUCUGAGAUCUCUGAUGGUGAAAACCCAGAAGCCCUACGAGGAAACUCUCCUGGUGAAGACCCAGAGCAGCCAGCGCCUGCAGCAGUGUAUGGCAUGGUUCAGAGAGGUG